rnacentral:lncRNA from 1 species
UUUUUUUUUUUUUUUUUUUUUGUAGUUACAGGACCACAUUGUUAUUGCCCAGUCAGGUCUGAAACUCCUGGCCUCAAGCGAUCCUCCCACCUCAGCCUCCCAAAGUGCUAGGAUUAUAGGCAUGAGCCACUGCGCCUGGCCCAUGUCCUGUGGUCUCACCUGCUGUCUGCCAAUGGCGAAGCAAACAGAAUGAUGGCGCUAAUGUUCAACACGGCCCCAGGCAAGGUGGUGAGGGAAGGCCAGGAAAGUGGUGGGGCUGUAUUGCCGGAUCUGGCCAGCAGCCCGCAAUGCAAUGGGGCUCUCUCUUUGUUCCCAGGUGGAUCGACAGGUCGAGAAAUAAUAGACACAAGAUAGUGAAAGCUGGGUCCAGGGGGGUCACCACCUCUGGUCCCAUAGUGCUGCCAAUGCACUGGAUAUACCAGCAUUUAUUAUUAAGUUUAGUGAGGGCAGAAGUAGGUUAGUGAGGGAUUUAGGGUCGUUUGAUUAUGAGGUGAGAUGGUGACAUGGGAAUGAAGUAAUUCUUUAACAUAACAUCUGUAUGCAGAAGUACAGUAUACAGAUAAAUUAAUGUAGGGGCGUGACAUAAUUCUAACAGAGCCUUAAAACAGAAACACAGUCUUUCCAUAACCUAUGAUUAGCAAGAUAUUAAUCAGCAGUAACAGCUGCAGCAAAAAUUGGUUACAAAUAAUCCAUAGAAACAGGACGUGAAGCUAGACAACCCAUUAGACCAGAAAUUCUCAGAAGGGAGUAUGCCUUAACCCUAAAGAGGCCUAGAAGAGCCGUGGCAAGAUGAGGGCGUUUAUAGCCCUACCUUAUCCAUAUGGACAGGCGCACCCCAUGCGUCCAUUUAUAGGCUCUCAACAAGGUUCGCAUUCCAUUCCCGGAGCUAUGAACAUCUGCUUUUCUGGGAUAGGAAUCUUGGUGAUGUGAAACUUCCCUGACUGCACAUCCAUUCAUAGGCUCUCUGCAGGGGGAAGCACAUCACACGCUGUUGGCUCAUUCUGGCGGUCCAACCUGGCAUUGUC